UACGUAGGGUGCAAGCGUUGUCCGGAAUUAUUGGGCGUAAAGAGCUCGUAGGCGGUUUGUCGCGUCUGCUGUGAAAACCCGAGGCUCAACCCCCGGGCCUGCAGUGGGUACGGGCAGACUAGAGUGCGGGUAGGGGGAGACUGGAAUUCCUGGUGUAGCGGGUGAAAAUGCGCAGAUAAUCAGAGGAACACCGGUGGCGAAGGGCGGGGGUCUCC
rnacentral:rRNA from 1 species